rnacentral:tRNA from 1 species
GCUCAGGUGGAGGAAUUAGGCAGACUCGCUACACUUAGGAUGUAGUUCUUUAUGAAUUGUGGGUUCGAGUCCCACCCUGAGUA